rnacentral:lncRNA from 1 species
UUCUAGAUCAGUUGUAGUUUCCAUCAAUGCAACGUUGGCUUGUUCUUCGUCAGAAUCUUCUUCUUCGGGUUCUGAGUCAUCUCAUGUAGCCAUCAACCCCUUCAUUCCUUUAGAAAAAUUCUUCUUAGGCCUUCUGUCCUUUUUCAGCUUAGGACAUUCAUUUUUGUUGUGGAUUGGCUCCUUGCACUCAAAGAAGAUAACUUCUUUUCUAAAAUCUUGCUUCUUUUGUCCAGACAAAGAAUCAGAAUGACCAACAGUCCUUUUGGCUCCUCUGGACUUCCC